AAGAAAAAGUAAAAGAAAAAAAAGAAGAAAAAAGCAGGGUGAGAUGGCUUAGCAGAGAUUACGAGGGGAGUCUGGGGUUGAGCCAGCAACAAAAUCGCAUCACAUAUUAUCAGCAAGCAGAGAAGACAGGCUACAGAAGGGGAGAGAUGGGGCACUGCUGCUGAGUGGUACAGAACCUGCCUAUUUUGUGAGAGGUCCUGCUACCAGGCUCCCCACCACACACACAAAGUUAAAAGUCAAUAAAUCUGCCUCAGAGCCAGAGUUUGCAAUGAACAAAGAAAACAGUAAGGAUCAACUCCAGAGCCUUGCCAAUACUAAAAGCACACUCUACUGCUCAGCCACCCCUUCAGCUGAAGAUGUGGCUUGUAUGACCUGCCUGUACCCAGAACCGUACUCACAGACAUAUAUGUACAUAUAUGCCCAUAUUCCCUUCCCACUCUUCCUAGUGUGGGUGUGUCAUAAAUUUGAAAUAUCUUGA